GACAGCAGUACCGCGGGAAUACGGAGGGUGCAAGCGUUAAUCGGAAUUACUGGGCGUAAAGCGCACGCAGGCGGUCUGUCAAGUCAGAUGUGAAAUCCCCGGGCUUAACCUGGGAACUGCAUUUGAAACUGGCAGGCUAGAGUCUUGUAGAGGGGGGUAGAAUUCCAGGUGUAGCGGUGAAAUGCGUAGAGAUCUGGAGGAAUACCGGUGGCGAAGGCGGCCCCCUGGACAAAGACUGACGCUCAGGUGCGAAAGCGUGGGGAGCAAACAGGAUUAGAUACCCCAGUAGUCCCUGUCUCUUAUACA
rnacentral:rRNA from 1 species